UGGUAGCCGCUACGAGCGCACCCUUGUUCCCUAGUUUGCCAGCACUUCGGGUGGGAACUCUACCGAUACUGCCGGUGAUAAACCGGAGGAAGGUGGGGAUGACCCCCAAGUCAUCAUGGCCCUUAUGGGCAGGGCUACACACGUGCUACAAUGGCCGGUACAGAGGGCAGCGAAGCCGCGAGGUGGAGCGAAUCUCAGAAAACCGGUCGUAGUCCGGAUUGCAGUCUGCAACUCGACUGCAUGAAGCCGGAAUCGCUAGUAAUCGCGGAUCAGAACGCCGCGGUGAAUACGUUCCCGGGCCUUGUACACACCGCCCGUCACACCAUGGGAGUGGGCUGUACCAGAAGUAGGUAGUCUAACCUUCGGGAGGACGCUUACCAGGGUGUGGUUCAUGACUGGGGUGAAGUCGUAACAAGGUAGCCCUAGGGGAACCUGGGGCUGGACCA
rnacentral:rRNA from 1 species